rnacentral:tRNA from 1 species
GUUUUUAUAGUUGAAUAACAACGGUGGUUCUUCAAACCACAGGUUUUGGUGAUAGGCCAAGUAAAAAUG